rnacentral:rRNA from 1 species
CAGUCGCCACGGUAAUACGUAGGGUGCGAGCGUUAAUCGGAAUUACUGGGCGUAAAGCGUGCGCAGGCGGUUAUAUAAGACAGAUGUGAAAUCCCCGGGCUCAACCUGGGACCUGCAUUUGUGACUGUAUAGCUAGAGUACGGUAGAGGGGGAUGGAAUUCCGCGUGUAGCAGUGAAAUGCGUAGAUAUGCGGAGGAACACCGAUGGCGAAGGCAAUCCCCUGGACCUGUACAGACGCUCAUGCACGAAAGCGUGGGGAGCAAGCAGGAUUAGAUACCCCCGUAGUCCCUGUCUCUUAUAC